UACGUAGGGUGCGAGCGUUACUCGGAAUUACUGGGCGUAAAGCGUGCGUAGGCGGUUCGUUAAGUCUGCUGUGAAAGCCCCGGGCUCAACCUGGGAAUGGCAGUGGAUACUGGCGAGCUAGAGUGUGAUAGAGGAUGGUGGAAUUCCCGGUGUAGCGGUGAAAUGCGUAGAGAUCGGGAGGAACAUCAGUGGCGAAGGCGGCCAUCUGGAUCAACACUGACGCUGAGGCACGAAAGCGUGGGGAGCAAACAGG
rnacentral:rRNA from 1 species